rnacentral:rRNA from 1 species
AUUGAACGCUGGCGGCAUGCCUUACACAUGCAAGUCGAACGGUAACAGGUCUUCGGAUGCUGACGAGUGGCGAACGGGUGAGUAAUACAUCGGAACGUGCCUAGUAGUGGGGGAUAACUACUCGAAAGAGUGGCUAAUACCGCAUGAGAUCUACGGAUGAAAGCAGGGGAUCGCAAGACCUUGUGCUACUAGAGCGGCCGAUGGCAGAUUAGGUAGUUGGUGGGAUAAAAGCUUACCAAGCCGACGAUCUGUAGCUGGUCUGAGAGGACGAUCAGCCACACUGGGACUGAGAAACGGCCCAGACUCCUACGGGAGGCAGCAGUGGGAAAUUUUGGACAAUGGGCGAAAGCCUGAUCCAGCAAUGCCGCGUGCAGGAUGAAGGCCUUCGGGUUGUAAACUGCUUUUGUACGGAACGAAAAGCCCCGGGUUAAUACCCUGGGGUCAUGACGGUACCGUAAGAAUAAGCACCGGCUAACUACGUGCCAGCCGCCGCGGUAA